CGCCUUGUGGAUUACUUUCAGAGGCCUUUUCAAAAAUGAAAGCAGUGAUCUGAUUGGUUGCUAUGGGCAACUCAGCAACUUUUCCUUUGGACAGGAAGGAGCUUCUGAGGAGAACCAAGAUGGCUCCCAGGGCUGCGGCCAGGAUGGUGGAGGUGGACUUGAUGCUGGAGGCUCCGCUGGUGUUACACAGAAUAGAAGAGACUGAGACGUCACAUGACCAGCUGCGGAGCAAUAACUACAGCUCUGGAGGAGACUAUAUGAGACAUCACAUGACCAGCUGUGGAGCAAUAACUACAUCUCUGGAGGAGACUAUAUGAGAUGUCACAUGACCAGCUGCGGAGCAAUAACUACAUCUCUGAAGAAGACUAUAUGAGACAUCACAUGACCAGCUGCUGAGCGAUAACUACAUCUCUGGUAGGAGACCGAUGUCACAUGACCAGCUGUGGAGCAAUAACUACAGCUCUGGAGGAGACUAUAUGAGACAUCACAUGACCAGCUGUGGAGCAAUAACUACAUCUCUGGAGGAGACUAUAUGAGACAU